rnacentral:rRNA from 1 species
UUGACAUCCCGGAGACCCUUAGGAAACUAGGGGUGGCUCCCAUCUGGAAGAAUCUGGAGACAGGUGGCUGCAUGGCUGUCGUCAGCUCGUGUCGUGAGAUGUUGGGUUAAGUCCCGCAACGAGCGCAACCCUUGCCUUUAGUUGCCAGCAGUUCGGCUGGGCACUCUAAAGGGACUGCCGGUGUUAAACCGGAGGAAGGUGGGGAUGACGUCAAGUCCUCAUGGCCUUUAUGACCAGGGCUACACACGUACUACAAUGGCCGAUACAAAGGGCAGCGACACUGCGAGGUGAAGCCAAUCCCGUAAAAUCGGUCUCAGUCCGGAUUGGAGUCUGCAACUCGACUCCAUGAAGUUGGAAUCGCUAGUAAUCGUGGAUCAGCAUGCCACGGUGAAUACGUUCCCGGGCCUU